GAUGAACGCUGGCGGCGUGCCUGAUACAUGCAAGUCGAGCGAACGGACGAGAAGCUUGCUUCUCUGAUGUUAGCGGCGGACGGGUGAGUAACACGUGGAUAACCUACCUAUAAGACUGGGAUAACUUCGGGAAACCGGAGCUAAUACCGGAUAAUAUUUUGAACCGCAUGGUUCAAAAGUGAAAGACGGUCUUGCUGUCACUUAUAGAUGGAUCCGCGCUGCAUUAGCUAGUUGGUAAGGUAACGGCUUACCAAGGCAACGAUGCAUAGCCGACCUGAGAGGGUGAUCGGCCACACUGGAACUGAGACACGGUCCAGACUCCUACGGGAGGCAGCAGUAGGGAAUCUUCCGCAAUGGGCGAAAGCCUGACGGAGCAACGCCGCGUGAGUGAUGAAGGUCUUCGGAUCGUAAAACUCUGUUAUUAGGGAAGAACAUAUGUGUAAGUAACUGUGCACAUCUUGACGGUACCUAAUCAGAAAGCCACGGCUAACUACGUGCCAGCAGCCGCGGUAAUACGUAGGUGGCAAGCGUUAUCCGGAAUUAUUGGGCGUAAAGCGCGCGUAGGCGGUUUUUUAAGUCUGAUGUGAAAGCCCACGGCUCAACCGUGGAGGGUCAUUGGAAACUGGAAAACUUGAGUGCAGAAGAGGAAAGUGGAAUUCCAUGUGUAGCGGUGAAAUGCGCAGAGAUAUGGAGGAACACCAGUGGCGAAGGCGACUUUCUGGUCUGUAACUGACGCUGAUGUGCGAAAGCGUGGGGAUCAAACAGGAUUAGAUACCCUGGUAGUCCACGCCGUAAACGAUGAGUGCUAAGUGUUAGGGGGUUUCCGCCCCUUAGUGCUGCAGCUAACGCAUUAAGCACUCCGCCUGGGGAGUACGACCGCAAGGUUGAAACUCAAAGGAAUUGACGGGGACCCGCACAAGCGGUGGAGCAUGUGGUUUAAUUCGAAGCAACGCGAAGAACCUUACCAAAUCUUGACAUCCUUUGACAACUCUAGAGAUAGAGCCUUCCCCUUCGGGGGACAAAGUGACAGGUGGUGCAUGGUUGUCGUCAGCUCGUGUCGUGAGAUGUUGGGUUGAGUCCCGCAACGAGCGCAACCCUUAAGCUUAGUUGCCAUCAUUAAGUUGGGCACUCUAAGUUGACUGCCGGUGACAAACCGGAGGAAGGUGGGGAUGACGUCAAAUCAUCAUGCCCCUUAUGAUUUGGGCUACACACGUGCUACAAUGGACAAUACAAAGGGCAGCGAAACCGCGAGGUCAAGCAAAUCCCAUAAAGUUGUUCUCAGUUCGGAUUGUAGUCUGCAACUCGACUACAUGAAGCUGGAAUCGCUAGUAAUCGUAGAUCAGCAUGCUACGGUGAAUACGUUCCCGGGUCU
rnacentral:rRNA from 1 species